rnacentral:lncRNA from 1 species
GCACUAAUAAAUAGGAGAUUGAUAGGAAAUCUAGGAAUAUGUAGAACAGAUGAUAAGGAUAAUUUGAAAGUACAUUUGAUAGAUUCUUUCCCAGAAAUAGGGGUAAAGGAGCCAUCAACAAGGCGAAUGCCACUUCGAACUUUGGACUAUAAGACACCUCUUGAAUGCCUGCAAGGAACUAAUUCUUUCAUAAUUCCCCCC